AGAGCGAACGCUGGCGGCAGGCCUAACACAUGCAAGUCGAACGGACUCUUCGGAGUUAGUGGCGGACGGGUGAGUAACACGUGGGAACGUGCCUUUAGGUUCGGAAUAGCCCCUGGAAACGGGUGGUAAUACCGAAUGUGCCCUUCGGGGGAAAGAUUUAUCGCCUUUAGAGCGGCCCGCGUCUGAUUAGCUUGUUGGUGAGGUAAUGGCUCACCAAGGCUACGAUCAGUAGCUGGUCUGAGAGAUGACCAGCCACAUUGGGACUGAGACACGGCCCAGACCUCCUACGGGAGCAGCGAGUAGGGGAAUUUUGGAACAAGUGGGACGAAAGCCGUGAUCCAGACAAUCGCCGCGUGACGAAGGAA
rnacentral:rRNA from 1 species